rnacentral:rRNA from 1 species
UACAGAGGGGGCAAGCGUUGUUCGGAAUUACUGGGCGUAAAGGGCGCGUAGGCGGCCUGUUAAGUCGAACGUGAAAUCCCCGGGCUCAACCCGGGAACUGCGUCCGAUACUGACAGGCUUGAAUCCGGGAGAGGGAUGCGGAAUUCCAGGUGUAGCGGUGAAAUGCGUAGAUAUCUGGAGGAACACCGGUGGCGAAGGCGGCAUCCUGGACCGGCAUUGACGCUGAGGCGCGAAAGCCAGGGGAGCAAACGGG